rnacentral:misc_RNA from 1 species
GAUGAAGAACGUAGCGAAAUGCGAUAAGUGAUGUGAAUUGCAGAAUUCAGUGAAUCAUCGAAUCUUUGAACGCACAUUGCGCCCCUUGGUAUUCCGAGGGGCAUGCCUGUUCGAGCGUCAUUAUCACCCUUCAAGCUCUGCUUGGUGUUGGGGCCUGCUGUUAGGCAGCCCUUAAAAUUAGUGGCAGUGACCAUUAGGCUCUAAGCGUAGUAAUUCUUCUCGCUAUAGCGUCUAGUGGUUCCGCGCCAAAACCCCCAAUUUUUUAUGAUUGACCUCGGAUCAGGUAGGGAUACCCGCUGAACUUAAGCAUAUCAAUAAGCGGAGGA